rfam:Xenopus laevis strain J chromosome 3L, whole genome shotgun sequence.
GGUGCUGUGGCUUAGUUGGUUAAAGUGCUUAUCUAGUAAACAAGAGAUCCUGAGUUCAAGUCGCAGCAGUGCCU